AUGAUUGCGUGCGUAAUGAUUUUUUGUCGGUUAACCAAAACAAGGUUUAAGGCACUUGUAGAGCAUAUUAGUGAUACAUAAGCUCUGAUGAUAAUGUGAUAGUAUAUGCAAUCAGAUGCCAAAACACAUCAAGAAAAUUGAGAUCAUCAGAUGCCAAAACAUGUUUAGAUUUGAAGUUCAUAAUCAAGUACCAAAAACAGA
rnacentral:lncRNA from 1 species